CGCAUGUCAUGCUUUUUGAAAUUUUCUUCUGUAAAAUUCAAAAAAAAAAACGAAAUCUAAUUGAACGAUUACAGAAAUAUUUCAUGAAUAUUCCAUUGAUGAUAAUUUCAGACUUUUAAUUCACUCAUUCAAAAUGUACAACAAGAUGGAUUAUUUUUGUUUGGAUGGAUAAUUAAAUCUACAAGAUAUAUUCAUUUGUCGAAUAUCAAUUAGAAGUACGAAGUAUCUGGAGAUGUUGGACCAAUUCUGAAAGUCUGAAAAUUGAGAUUAAAGCCUCAAAUUAUUAACUUAUUCGUAAAGAUCAAAUGAUUCAGGUGUGGGAAUUUUUAGCAUUCUUCAGUUGAACAUACAAUGUAUUUCCAAUAAAUUGUAAAGUUUGGAGGUA